UAACGCGCUGAGCUGACCAGUACUAAUCGCUCGAUCGGCUUGAUCGCUCUCAUGAU
rnacentral:rRNA from 1 species